rnacentral:tRNA from 1 species
GGGUACAAAAUGUCACGGGUUCNAAUCCUGUCAUCCCUA